rnacentral:lncRNA from 1 species
CACAACAGCAGGAACAGAAGGGCCCGGUGCCAGCAUAGACAGGCUCUGCUGUGAGACACAGGUGCUCCCAGGAUCCUCCUACAGUGCCACCUCUGGAAAUCCCUGUUCUCUGAUCAAACAGAGACCACUGAGGGGGUGAAAAGGAGACAGACAGAGAGCUGCUGCUUUUUACAAUAAACUCUGUAUUGUGCACAUGAAGACCUGGAGAUGUGCCGACUUCCUGUCCCCAAAGCCAAUCUUCCCCGCCAAGGCGACUGAGGAUUUCAAGGGCUCAGAGUUACUGCAGGAAUCCAGGUGACACCAGGAAGAGAAGGGGGAGGAGGGGAAUCGGAGGGGAUGGGUUUAAAAGGCAGAGGGGAGGCAAGAAGGGAGGGGGAUCGAAGGAAAUGAGGAGGAGGGAGACUGAGGGGGCUGCCUUUCCUUGGGGACUGGGGAACUCAUGCCCUGCCCCCACCCGCAGGGCUCCAGGGGUGAGAGAAAGGGGUGGAGAAUAAAGAAUUGGGCAGCAGGGUGAUGGGGGGAACAGCAGCUGGGGUAUUUAGGUCAGGGGGAGUCGGGGGCAGAACCGAUGAAUGGACGGGCUCAGAAGGGAGAAGAUACAAGGAAUGAGAGCAAGAGAAACGGGGAACUGGGCAACGGGGUGACGGGGAGAACAGCACCUGGGUAUCCUAAGACACAGAGGCUAUCUAUACCUUGCUAGGGACCAGGAUGUGAGGAGAGGAGGGAGGAUUUAGGGCUGGGGGACUGGGGUGCAGGAUGGAUGAAGGAACGGGGUCAAAAGGGGAGGACGUCUAAGGAAUGAGAGCAAGAGAUGCAGCAGGGAGUUAGAUCAGGAGAGGGCAGGAGAUGGGAUGGGGCUGCAGGCUGCCUCCAGGUUCAAAGUAAGAAACAGGCAGUAGGGAAUUGAGAGAAAAUAAGAACCAGGGCCAGAGACCAGGUGAAGGACGUGAGGAUUGGAGGAUCCGAGAGAGGCAAUGGCAACACGAGGGCUGAGACGGGAGGGCAGAGUAGGACCGAGAAUUGACCAAGUCUAUGUGGUUUUCACAACAACGGCGUGAGCUAUCAUACAGGAAUGCUGUACCCGUUUUGCAGGUGAGGAAACUGAGGCUCGUUACUGACUUGCCCAAGAUUCCACAGUGGAAGAGCCUGGACGUGAACUGCGUCUCCAGGUGGGUUUCAGCCAAGUUGGAAGGAGAAGGAUGGGAUUUGGGGGAACAGUCUCAUCUUGCCCAAGAACAGCAGGAGCCUGGGCUGCCCGCGUCCUGGGGCCACCUCUUGAAAUGGACGCAAUGCAGACCCUUGUGUCCGGGGCAGGGCGGAGGGGGUGGUGAAGGGGCCCCGCAGGGCUCACACUGAGGACGAGGUCAUCUCGGGUCUCUUGAUGUGCACCUGUCAGAGUCACAGUGAGGGACGGGAACGCGGAGCCACUGGUUUGGGCUGACAGGGAGGUCACUGCUGAUCCGAGCCCAGCCCCCUCCCUGCCCUGGUGGGGGUCGGGGAGGGAUUCUGGAAUGGAGGCUGGGAGAGUUCCUUGGGGUCCCCCUCUUUAGCCCCUCACCUUCAUAGUGGUGUCCACGUUCUCCAAGGCCACAUAGAAAUUUGUAUCCUUGU